GCCCUAGUAGCUCAGUAAUUCAGAGCACCAGUCUUGUAAACUGGGGGUCAAAGGUUAAACUCCUUUCUAGUGCU
rnacentral:tRNA from 1 species